UUAGCGCGGAUGUAUAUGAUAUUUUCUCUUUGUGAUUGUCCUCCCGUGCGAUGAAAAAUAUGUCAUCGUAUUGCACAGGACUUUCGCGAGCUACCGAUACAAUUUUCGUGCCCCAAAUUCCAUAAAUCUUCCGAAAAUAAACAUGAAAGUGUCGGUAAGUCGAAAAUGUCUUGAGUUGCUUUCAAUUCUUACCUUAUUUAGUUGUAUUUCUUGUAAAAUGGGUCUCGAAGGGUUCCGGAUUUUCCGUUGAUUGUGAAACUUGAGUUGAUUUCCUUUCUGUGUAUUGCAGUGAAAUUGCAGCGCGGGGAAUCGCAAGGGCUGGGGAAGCCCUUCUCAGUGAGGUUUGCAAGCUGAGCUGCCCUUGAAUUUGGUCGAAUUUCGAGCCAUUUUAAUCGCGCGCGGGAUGAUUAAUUUACAUCAUAAUAGAGAUUAAGAUUACGUCACGUACGUGCGUACCUGUGAUACACACAGAAAUGAAAUUGAACUUGAAUCACACGGAAUCACAGUCAAGAAAUGCUUUGUUUUCUUCGUUUGCUGAAUGAUUUCCUGAAUUUAAAAUCAUGAAUAAACACCAGAGUAAUGACAUGAAUAAGAUAAUCAUGGUCAUAUUUGAGAAAUAACUAAAUAUUUUCUGAAAACGAGUGAAGAUGAUGGGGCAGUGAUGUGCAUGCACUGGAAAAUGAACAUUCACUGUCAGUGUCAGUGCCGUGGUGUCAGUGUUUUACUGCCAAUACUGGCUUUACUUUUGCACUGGUUUUUCUUUUGCCAACUAGAUUUAAAACUCAUUUAUUGAUAUGUUUAUUGCAAUUUUUGAAUAAAUGGCAAUACAAAGUGGGAAAAAAAAGGAUAAAUGAAGAUAAAAAUGAUUUUGACUAAAAACUUGUCAUGCCAUCACCCCCCCCCCCUAAAAAAAUACCCACUAUCUUGAAUGACUCAGGUAAUUUAAUUUGUAUUGAAAAAAAUAAACAAUUGUAUUUAUGCAUUUUAUAUUUCUGAUUCUUUCUGCCAGAAUACCAGAUGCCAUCAUGAAUAACCUCACCACCAGUUUUGGCGGUUCCCCCCUAAAAUUUUUGGCUUCCGCCGCCAAUGCCAGGAAUGAUGAUGUUCAACUGAGAGUCGCUGAAGUGGAACUUGUUGCAGAGAAUGAUUAUUCCAGGACAAGUUAGAUGAUAUUACCCAGCCCAUACAUCACAACAAUGGAAGGGAGACAAUAUACCCCUGUACUACGUGAAGUAUCAUAUUAUCUUCAGGUUGGUUUGGAAAGUAAUAAUAGUCCUCUAGUCAAUAAUAACGUCUGUCCAACAUAAUGGUACUAUCGAGCGAUUUGGGGGUUCAAUCACAAACAGCAAAAGUUUAGUAAAUUGACACUAGUAAGAUAAUUAAACAAAUAUAAUACAGCCAAACUGUCUGACCCCUUACUUGACUACUGACUUAACUACUUAUUAAAAAAUGACAAGUGAUGCUUAGGCCCUUUGUAACCAUUGUAUUGGGCAGACUUUGAAGCAGAUGACUAGAAUUCAUACUUUCAUGAAGAUGAAGGAAGAUCAAAAGAAUUAUUACAAUUUAGCAAAUAUGAAAUUAGAACACUGUCAUGGUUAUAAAAAAUAAUGAAUUUCUAUCAAGUAAAAUGACAAUACAAUGUAAGAAAUAAUUGCAAUCAAGUAAUUUCAUUUGCAAAAGAUAUUUUCUAUAAUUUAAUAACCAAAUUUCUCAAGAUAAUAUUCUUCUGCACAGAAGUGUAUGACACGCUCAGUGUAAAUCAUGCUGUUUAUAAAUCUCUAGGAAACCUUUUUUUUCAAAAUGAAAAUACAUGUAAACUUAAUAAAAACCAGGGGUGGAUCCAGGAUUUAUCCUGGGGGGGGGGGCACAUUUUCAUAAUGAAAAUUUGUCAAGCAAAAAAAGGGCCUUGCUUUCCGGGGGGGGGGGCAUACUUUGGUGAAAAUGGCAUAUUUUCAUUACAAAUCCCGACUGAGGCUCUCUAAGGGGGGGGGGGGGGGUGAGCCAGAUGUGCCCUCCCCCAGAUCCACCAGUGAUAAAAAUCAACAUUUGUGAAAGAUGGCAUACGUACCUUACACUGAAUUGGUAAAUUCAAUGCAUAUGUCUACAAAAUGAAACUGACAUGUUUGAAUAAAUUGCUUAUUUUUGUUUCUAGAAAGAAUUCAUUAAUAACAGCUUAGAGUUAUUGAGAAAACAUCAGGCAAACAUAACAUUCUGAUAUGCAAUAACUAAAUCUGUUUUAAAUAUGCUUUGUUUAUGUCAAAGGCUUUAUCGAAAUAAAUUAUGCUAUAAUUUAUAAAUUACUGCAUUUUGGAGCCCAUUAAAAUUCAAAAUGAAUCAUAUAGGGCAGUGCCACACCUUAUUCACUAAAAUAAAGGAGGGGUGCAGCUGAAAAAUCUCAUCAGCAGGGGCAAUAAUUUUCACCGCCAUUUCAAUAGUACUAUUAGAUAUCCUGAAAACACAUAAUUAAAAUAAAAUUAACUUUCUCUCAGGAAGUGCCCCUGUAUACUAUUACAGCCCUUGACCAGUAUAUUCUCUCAAGAGGUUCAAUAAUUCCUUCUCUUCCCUUAAUUGUAGAGUCCGUUCGGGUGCGAAUGUGUCUGAAAAAAAUGAUAAGCCAAAAAAAAAAGAUCAUUAGUAAAAAUUGUAGAGUGAACAGAACAUAUCAUUAAAAAAAAAUGACAAGCAAAAACAAAGAUUGAUCUGGCAUUGGAAAAUAAAAGGAAAUUAAUGAACACCACACCGCCCCCCCCCCCCGCUUCAACAUUUUUUGUUGUUUGCUUCUCCUGCUUACAACUUUAUAACUUUACCUGAUACACCAUAUAUGGACCUUUCAAAACUUUUGGCUCCAUUAUCAUGACUUUGCCACUGUUCAAGUAUUAUUUAUUUGAAACCAAUGCUAAGACUAUAAGGUGAAAUGAAAUUAUAUAAAGAAAAAAAAAAAAUUCACAAAGUAUAAAAUCAUAAUGAUGUAGGUCAUGUUGAAA